GGAGAGAUGGCUGAGUGGUCGAAAGCGGCAGAUUGCUAAUCUGUUGUACAUAUAUAUUAUUGUACCGAGGGUUCGAAUCCCUUUCUCUCCU
rnacentral:tRNA from 1 species